GGAGCUGUAGCUUAGUGGUAGAGCUCUUGCCUUGCUAGUAUGAGGACUGGGUUCAAUCCUCAGCACCA
rnacentral:tRNA from 1 species